GGAGGAUCCAAGCGUUAUCCGGAAUCAUUGGGUUUAAAGGGUCCGUAGGCGGUUUAGUAAGUCAGUGGUGAAAGCCCAUCGCUCAACGGUGGAACGGCCAUUGAUACUGCUAGACUUGAAUUAUUAGGAAGUAACUAGAAUAUGUAGUGUAGCGGUGAAAUGCUUAGAGAUUACAUGGAAUACCAAUUGCGAAGGCAGGUUACUACUAAUGGAUUGACGCUGAUGGACGAAAGCGUGGGUAGCGAACAGGAUUAGAUACCCUGGUAGUCCACGCCGUAAACGAUGGAUACUAGCUGUUGGGAGCGAUCUCAGUGGCUAAGCGAAAGUGAUAAGUAUCCCACCCUGGGGAGUACGUUC
rnacentral:rRNA from 1 species